GAGAGAGAGAGGGAGAGAGAGAGGAGCUGAUGUUGUGAUUUGUGAGGGAGUAUUUUUCUUUUUCUUGUGUGAAAGAGCCAGCUAGUUAGGGCUAUAUUUGGGUAAAAUACAAUUAGAAAAGAAAAAAAAUAUGGUCGUUCCUUCAAAGAGGCAUUGCCUUAGUGGCCUCAGUGCCUCUCACCUCAGUUUCAGGCGAGGCGUUAGGGUGGCGUCUCACUCUGGUGCCUCUGUCGCCUUUGAUAACAUUGUAUCUCACAGACACCAUAAGUAAUGAUUGUUGAAAAAACCAUGAAUGCUACACAGAUUAGAAUAAAAAUGCAGAGAGGGAGAAGAAAAAGAGAAUAAUUUUUACAUGGUUUGGCGGUUUGCCUAGCCCACGGAACCACCUGUGAUUUUUCACUAUGAAGGAUAAAGUUAUAUGUGUCUAUUAAAUAUUAGUGUUUUCUUUUACGAGUGGGAAUAGGAUAACCUUGAAAUACAAGAAUAACCCUAUCUAAUUUUAACCGUUUUAGCCUAAUAACAUUGCACUGUACUGCCAUUGAUGGGUUCGGUCAAAUAUUGGAUAUUCUUAUCAGUGGGUUUCUCAAGGAGCAUGGGCUUUUAGUGUACAGUAUCUUCUCCGAAUAAUGAGUUCCAACCAAGUACCGACUGAUGUCUUCUUUUUUUUCUUUGGUCUUUUUCCUUUCAUCUUCCAGUGAUGUGUAGCUCACAUGGUGCCUAUGACUUGAGUGGAUUGUAAUAUUGGGCCAUGUAAAUGGGGGUACAAUAGGACUUUGGACCCAAGUAGAUUUUUGCAUUAAAUAUACAUUUUUUUUUUUGAAGAAAAGGAAAAUAAAACCUGCCUUCCUUUUCUUUUUUGGUUUCUUGAAGCAUGCAAACGGUAUGUUCUCACAGAUUUUAAGGUAUUAGUGCAUUGGUUAAGCAAGGAUUGCUCAUUACAUGUAGGCCGCUUGCACAGGUGCAUAUUUUACAUUUGGGAUUGAUCCUCUUCAAAUUGUUGCACCUAAUAUUGAGCAUUGUGUGAGAUUUUAAAUUGUGGUCUAGCAAAAGAACAUUACUACCGUCUUUUGUCAAUGGUUGAAGGAAGCCUUGUCAAAUGAAAUUGGAAUAUAUUGCCAGUUCUUGAGUAGUUCAGAGUAAUUUACCUUAUUUACACCCCUAAUUAUUUUGAUACGAGUAAUGCUCUAUCUCUAUUUAGUUAUUCUGCAUAAUGAUUUCUUUUGGAUUGUAUGAAUUUGUUGACUCAGAUUUUUAUUUGAUCUAGUUCAUAACUUGAUAUUUCUUCAUUUUAUUUGGUUACAGUUGAAGAUGCGCUAGCUC
rnacentral:misc_RNA from 1 species